rnacentral:lncRNA from 1 species
GGGCACGUUCUCGCUUCCAUUCGGUCCUCCUUUUGUUAACGCUCUGGCAUCAUGUCUACGCCAGCUCCCGCGCAAUCCGGCGCCAUCGCGCUUUGGGCGAGCAUGGCCAUGGGGAGUAGAGAGGUGGAAACCGAGCUGACGCCUGCCUGACCCUGGCGAUGGUGGCGCGCGCCGGGAAGGACUGAUUGGAGAAUGGCGCCAAAUGGGUCACGGAUGGCGAGGGGGCACAGGAGCUCUCGAUGUGACCUGGCGCUGUGGAUGUGAUGCACAGCAGCUUGAGUGGGACUGCUCCGCUGUCCUCAUGAGAGAACGCUUUUUCUGAAGAUGGGAGGUGGCUAAUGAAAGAAGGAAUUGUGUUCUCGGUGAUGCCUGGAAGAGAUGCGUGACGUUGGAAGAUGAUUACGAAAUACAGGAAAGGUAAUUGGAGGAGUCUAGCCAGAAGGCCAGAAGCUUGGGACAUUGUCUUCAUCACUGUUAGCCACAUGCCUCUCUUGUGGGGGCAGUAACUUCGACAGGAGCUCUAGGGGUCCAGGAGACAUGAUCUAACGCCUACCAUCCCAUGUAGGUGGAAAUUACCACGCAUCAGGAAUGAAAUCAAAGGAUGUUUUUUGUAAGAGUAACACUUACAGAAAUAUUCAUUAAUUUGAAGAUUUAUAUAAGGCCUGGUGACCUCCGUUAAUUCCUGGGACCCACAGUGUGGAAGAAGAGACCUGACUCCUGAAAGUUGUCUUCUGACCACAUAUACACAAUAUGUAAAUAAAUGUAAUUAAAAAAUCAAAAUAGUAAAACUGAAACAUUA